rnacentral:lncRNA from 1 species
GAGGCCGAGGCGGGCGGAUUACAAGGUGAGGAGUUCGAGACCAGCCUGACCAACAUGGUGAAACCCCGUCUCUACUAAAAAUACAAAAAUUAGCUGGGCAUGGUGGGGUGUGCCUGUAAUCCCAGCUAUUUAGGAAGCUGAAGCAGGAGAAUCACUUGAACCCGGGAGGUGGAGGUUGCAGCGAGCUGAGAUUGCACCACUGCACUCCAGCCUGGGCGACAGAGCAAGACUCCAUCUCAAAAAAAAAGAAAUCAGGUUAUUUGGAGGUAAAUCCUCCAUUUUCAUUGAUAUGGAUGUGAGUGA